AAGUUGGGAAUCAGAGCCCAAUCAUAUGUUCCAUUAGUUUUAAUCUUUCAAAGAUCACAAAGUGCUCUGCUUUUUUCAGAAAAUGUGGCAUGUGGAAGAAAGAAAAAGAAUAUCUAAUAUUUUCUUAUUGUUUUUACCCUUCUAUUUUCUCUUCACAGCCAAAUGGUGGAACAUGGUUUCUUCUGUGUAUUCUUUUCUUGUGCAGUUUCUUGACAACUGAACACUCUUCUAACAUUCCAUGAUGCUAUAUGGAAGGUAAAGUAGAGGGUUUAUUGGGGAAGAAGGUUUUGUUUAGUAUGGUUGCUAUUACAAUAGGAAUAUAGGAAUCUUAUGGAAAAAUCUACUCAGGGAAUUUUGAAAUUUGGAGGAUUCAAAAUACUCAGCAGGGAUCAAACAAAAUAGCAGACUUAUUAACAGGCAUUAAGAGAUACAUGACUAUGAGAUCCUAAGAACUUGGCUGUUUAAAAUUGCAUAUCUUGUCUAUGGGAAUUGAUCUCCUUCCUCUGUGAUCCAUUCACACCCAUUCUGAGAUAUCACACAGAUAGCCUGAUUAGGCAUCUGAACAGGCCCUUAGUGUUAUUCACUUAGUUAUAUUCCUGUAGCAGGGUGUCAGUAGAUGCAAUGACAGCAAUGGGUCAUCUGAAAAGUUCAGUUAAUCUAGCGAAGUUGGGAAUCAGAGCCCAAUCAUCUGUUCCAUUAGUUUUAAUCUUUCAAAGAUCACAAAGUGCACUGCUUUUUUCAGAAAAUGUGGCAUGUGGAAGAAAAGAAAAUAAUAUCUAAUAUUUUCUUAUCGUUUUUACCCUUCUAUUUUCUCUUCACAGCCAAAUGGUGGAACAUAGUUUCUCCUGUGUAUUCUUUUCUUGUGCAGUUUCUUGACAACUGAACACUCUUCUAACAUUCCAUGAUGCUAUAUGGAAGGUAAACUAGAGGGUUUAUUGGGGAAAGGGGUUUUGUUUAGUAUGGUUGCUAUUAGAAUAGGAAUAUAGGAAUCUUAUGGAAAACUCUACUCAGGGAAUUUUGAAAUUUGGAGGAUUUGAAAUACUCAGCAGGGAUCAAACAACAUAGCAGACUUAUUAACAGGCAUUAAGAGAUACAUGACUAUGAGAUCCUAAGAACUUGGCUGUUUAAAAUUGCAUAUCUUGUCUAUGGGAAUUGAUCUCCUUCCUCUGUGAUCCUUUCACACCCAUUCUGAGAUAUCACACAGAUAGCCUGAUUAGGCAUCUGAACAGGCCCUUAGUGUUAUUCACUUAGUUAUAUUCCUGUAGCAGGGUGUCAGUAGAUGCAAUGAUAGCAAUGGGUCAUCUGAAAAGUUCAGUUAAUCUAGUGAAGUUGGGAAUCAGAGCCCAAUCAUCUGUUUCAUUAGUUUUAAUCUUUCAAAGAUCACAAAGUGCACUGCUUUUUUCAGAAAAUGUGGCAUGUGGAAGAAAGGAAAAUAAUAUCUAAUAUUUUCUUAUUGUUUUUACCCUUCUAUUUUCUCUUCACAGCCAAAUGGUGGAACAUAGUUUCUCCUGUGUAUUCUUUUCUUGUGCAGUUUCUUGACAACUGAACACUCUUCUAACAUUCCAUGAUGCCAUGAUGCUAUAUGGAAGGUAAACUAUAGGGUUUAUUGGGGAAAAGGGUUUUGUUUAGUAUGGUUGCUAUUAGAAUAGGAAUAUAGGAAUCUUAUGGAAAACUCAGGGAAUUUUGAAAUUUGGAGGAUUUGAAAUACUCAGCUGGGAUCAAACAACAUAGCAGACUUAUUAACAGGCAUUAAGAUAUACAUGACUAUGAGAUCCUAAGAACUUGGCUGUUUAAAAUUGCAUAUCUUCUGUAUGGGAACUGAUCUCCUUCCUCUGUGAUCCAUAUUUAUCUUUGUGAGAGACAAUUGUUGUCUGCUUUGGGAAUCUUUGAAGAUGAAAAACUCAAGCUAUAGGUUAGAGGGAAAUAAUAUGGUACCCUACCUA
rnacentral:lncRNA from 1 species